CAUUCAUUCAUUCCCUCACCCCUCAUCUGUUUGCUCCCUCUGUGCCUGGGGUGCACCUGCAGGUCUUCCCUCAAGCAGCUCUGGCUCUGGAGGACUAACCCUGACCCUGUCCGACAAGGACCAUGAGUCAGGAGCUGGCAGCUUGGGCAGGUCCAAAUGGCUCUCCCUCAGGCGAAGAGCAGGAGGUCGGUGAAGGACGGCGGGUGAUAAACGUCCCAGCCUCCGUAGAGGCCUACAGAUGCCCACGGGAACUCAGAGCACCAGGCCCUGCCCGCCCUCAGCCCUCCUACCUGGCUAGGUGAGGACACAAAAUGCGACCUGCCAGGGCAGUGGCCACCCCACCAGACAUGGCCACAUCUAUCUGCCUGCUUGUCCUGAGGAGCCUCAGGGAAAUCCUGUGGCAGAGCUGGUGAGCCGUCUAUGCCGUUCCCCCAGAGCUGAAAGCUGCUGCCCAGGAAUCCAGAUGUUGUGACUCUGUCAUCAGUGGAUGUGGGCUCUAAAGGUAGUCAGGGACACAUCUGAAUAUCAUGUGAUAGCCCAGCUUUUUUUAGAAGGACCUAGUGUCUCUUAAACUCCAACUUUGAAAUUGUUUCUCAUAGUUUUGAGCUUUAGCAUUGAGAUUUAUUUUUUGAAGAUUACAGAUUUCUGUCAUUGGAUGGAGUAGCUCCUGCUGAGGCUGCUACAUACAGCUCUGGCUGGUUGUGUCUUUGCAACACUGGGCAGCCCUGGGCACAGCACGGCAUCUGGGUUCUGUGAGAAGAGAGCCAGCUCUCCUUGAAGAACAGUGUUCUCUCCUGGGAUGUUUAUGUAAAAAAGCACUAACAAUACAGUGCUCUCUGUCUUGUUUCUUCCCAUUUUAUAUUUGAUAAAUGGCAAUAACUUAAUUAUAAGGUAACACAUGCUGGUUAUGAAAUUUCAAAAAAUACAGAGUUAUAAAGUAAGAAAAAAAAGAAAAAAGAAAUAAAGAGAAAAUCGAGGGAUGAAAAGAAGAUACAGAAAGGAAUUUGGAAGAACCAUUCUAAUGUCAGACAACAUAGAAUUAAGGCCAAAAAAAAUCAUAAAAGACAAAGA